rnacentral:rRNA from 1 species
AUUGAACGCUGGCGGCAGGCCUAACACAUGCAAGUCGAACGGUAACAGGAAACAGCUUGCUGUUUCGCUGACGAGUGGCGGACGGGUGAGUAAUGUCUGGGAAACUGCCUGAUGGAGGGGGAUAACUACUGGAAACGGUAGCUAAUACCGCAUAACGUCGCAAGACCAAAGAGGGGGACCCUCGGGCCUCUUGCCAUCGGAUGUGCCCAGAUGGGAUUAGCUUGUUGGUGGGGUAACGGCUCACCAAGGCGACGCUCCCUAGCUGGUCUGAGAGGAUGACCAGCCACACUGGAACUGAGACACGGUCCAGACUCCUACGGGAGGCAGCAGUGGGGAAUAUUGCACAAUGGGCGCAAGCCUGAUGCAGCCAUGCCGCGUGUAUGAAGAAGGCCUUCGGGUUGUAAAGUACUUUCAGCGGGGAGGAAGGGAGUAAAGUUAAUACCUUUGCUCAUUGACGUUACCCGCAGAAGAAGCACCGGCUAACUCCGUG